AACACAGCCAGAACAGCUUUGGAUAUGAUGUUGAGUACCUGCUCACAAAGAUAUUUGGAAUAUGUUCAUAUUUUUUACCGUCAGAGUAGAAAGACUGAAGGGCUUUUGUGAGUUUGUUGGCCAGGAGUACCAUAACAUUUUAGGACACAGAAAUGUUUGCUGGAUGUCCAUGCUCCCUGCUCUAGAAAGGGUGCUGAAAAUGUGCCAUUGAAAUCCUUUUUUUUUUUUUUUCUGAAGACAAAUGCCCUGUUGUCCUGUGAACAAUGUUCGAAGAUCCACUGACUGAACUUUGGCUGGCCUUUGUCCAUGGAAACCUGACCGUAUUCAGUGACACGAUCAAGAUGCUUGGAGGCCAGGACCACUGUGCUGUGGAGUCCGCUGCAAUUCUGAGAAACAUUGAGGCAAAAUUGACUGAUGACAACUUCAUUCCAGUUUUGGUCAGAGGACUUCUGAGAGAACUAGAGGACAAUGGAGACAUGUCUAAAGAGAGCUUUCUCAAACCAUCCCAAUCAUUCUUCACUACGGCUGUGAACUACUUGCAAGCAUGGGGAAAGCACACAGAUCAUCUAAAAGAUUGACAUUGUCUCCUUUUAAAAAGGCAACCUCAGCGUGAAGAGAUCCAGAAGGCAGCAGGCACACUGCAGUAAAAAUGCCCCAAUGUGACCAUCAAUGAGGAUGCAUUGUUUGACAAGGUUACUGGCCUGUAAGAGUUCCUAAAGGGAGGAUUGCUUGAAGAAUGGAAAGCAUCUGAGACACCGCUUAGUCAGAGAUGGAGCACGGUGGUUACCCACUUCAAAGAGAAUGACAUCCCACACACUAACCUGGCUAGAUUAGCGUCUGUUGUCAUGUGCUUACCUGGAAGUAAUGCACCAGUCGAGAGAGUGUUCUCCCAAAUGAAUGCUCUAUGGACAGCAGCAAGAAAUAGGUUCACUGUUCCUACCACCAAGGCCAUGCUUAUUGUGAAGACAAAGUUAAACCUCCCCUGCCAGGAGUUCAUGGAGAAGCUGGCCAAAGACAGCAAUCCUGAAGAAAAUACAUUCUUCUGAGAAAUAUACAAAUUAGACUACCAGGACCACUGAAUGGCUGUUCAGAUCAGUUCUACCCAGACUACCAGGACCACUGAAUGGCUGUUCAGAUCAGUUCUACCCAGACUACCAGGACCACUGAAUGGCUGUUCAGAUCGGACAGUUCUGUCUUGUCUGUAGUGGUUCUGUAGUAUAGUUGUUUUCUCUAUCACAGUGUGCCUGUUAGACUAAAUACAUGAACCCGGAAUUGUCCCUUCUUUUUUUUACAUAAUAACAUUGGAUAUUUUAAUGAUAUAUUGACCACCAAACUGGAAAUGUCCCCGGUUUUCAUUUCAGAAAUCUGGUCACCUUCCACUAGACACAGUCUACAUGCUCAAUGCAGCACAUGCAACAAUGUUGAUGACAACGAUGUUGUUUCCACUUUGAUCUUAAUAUAAAUCCACAAGCGUUCUACAAUUACAAUAUUAGUUUGUGCUUCUUACAUCUGCAAACAACUAGUUCGUAUUUUCUUAGUAAGUUAAGCUAAAUCAUGUUAGCCACUAAUGCUCAUCGCUAGUUAGCUGGCUGAGUCAGCGCAAACGUAGCUAGCUACUGCAGCCUGAUAUCAGUACUGGUGGAGGCCUAAAUCAGCAUGUUGUUUGUACAACAGUAUCUUCUAAAUCAAAGAGGAAAAGGCGAAGCAUGAAUAUGUUGGCUAUAUGAAUAAAGCCAAAAAGUAUAGUGUCCCCUAGGAAACUCUGACCAUCACUUUGGUUCCUACCCUGUCACAAUAACUCGUCCAUGGCAUUUUCAUUCGUUGUCAUGUCACACAACACUGUAUUCAAAGUGCCCACUAUAAUUUAUAAUCUAACUAUAGAAUUAUAAUAAACAUUCUAUUUCCAUGAUUCCAAAAGUUCACCCAAGCGGUUCAAAAUAAUUUGAGAAAUACCACAACAUAAUAUUUUGGCCACAUCGCCCAGCCCUAAGAAAGAGCGAGAGAUAAGCAAUAGGUGGUUAUCCAGGCCCAUCAAUGCAUUCAGCCUAUAGUAGUGUUGUAUUUCCAUACCGAUACCAGGUUUAGUAUCAUGAUACUCGAUACCAUCACGAUACUCAAUAUCCCAAUAAAAAUGCCAUAAUAGCCAAAGUUCAAACAGAUAAACUCAGCUUCUGCUCUGUUCAAUCGUUGGGCAUCUUUAGAGUUACAUAUCAAUACAUUUCAAAUUUUUUAUGUCAAUAUUUUAUAAAUAGUCAUGUAUGCAUUAAUUAAUUAAAUUAUACAAUCAUAAAAUCAAUUUGAAUGAGUUUUUACCAAUCUAUCUACAAAACAACAUAAUGGUAAUCCUUUAUUCAAUGGUAAAUCUCUUAUUGGUAAACUGGGUAAAUCAAGAUGUAGCCUAGGUCUAUUCACAAUACAGGUGGAUGUAUAUUAUUCAAAAGGAGUGCAUUGAGUUAAUGAGCUCGUUUUAGCUGAUUUCAUGGAGCUACAGAUGACAAACAAUCCCUUCCAUUUAGGACUUAUAUUAUUGGCAACUGCUAGGAGAACAUAUUUUAUAGUACUGAUCAACAACAAUUGUAUAGAAGAAGCCAUCUCUUCUUUUUUUAAAGUGUGCUCUUUCUUUUAGGAAAGCAAUGACGUCAUUAGCAAGGCAGAGCGUGGCUGUGGAAUCUGACUAUGGAAUUUAGUGGAACCUAGACGGGAGGCGCGGGAGAUGAAAAAGUGACCGUUUUUGGUGACAAUCAGCAUAUUUUGCAUUACGGUUUGCACAUUAUCACAAACAAAGUACUUGGUUAGUGAAUUCAGCUGUAAGCAGGCAAAGACAGCUAGCCUACAAUUAAAGCUGAAAGCUACCGGUAUCGUCUUGUAAAAGUGUUGUAGCCUGUAUGGACAUUGUUUUGUGAACAGUAAUGAACAGCUUCAACAUUUCUA